GGGCAAUGGCCGAGAGGCUGACCCAGCCAUGCCGCGUGCAGGAUGAAGGCUUUCUGAGUCGUAAACUGCUUUUACCAGGGAAGAAAAAAGGGGAUGCGUCCCCUACUGACGGUACCUGGUGAAUAAGCACCGGCUAACUCCGUGCCAGCAGCCGCGGUAAUACGGAGGGUGCAAGCGUUGUCCGGAUUUAUUGGGUUUAAAGGGUGCGUAGGCGGCCGAUUAAGUCUGGGGCGAAAGCCCGUUGCUCAACAACGGAACUGCCCCGGAAACUGGUUGGCUUGAGUACAGACGAGGGUGGCGGAAUGGACGGUGUAGCGGUGAAAUGCAUAGAUACCGUCCAGAACCCCGAUUGCGAAGGCAGCUGCCUAGACUGUAACUGACGCUGAGGCACGAAAGCGUGGGGAGCGAACAGGAUUAGAUACCCUGGUAGUCCACGCCGUAAACGAUGGAUACUCGCUGGUGGCGACAGACUGUCACUGGCUUAGCGAAAGCGUUAAGUAUCCCACCUGGGGAGUACGCUCGCAAGAGUGAAACUCAAAAGAAUUGACGGGGGCCCGCACAAGUGGUGGAGCAUGUGGUUUAAUUCGAUGAUACGCGAGGAACCUUACCUAGGCUAGAAUGCGCGUGACCGGUUCAGAGAUGAGCCUUUCCUUCGGGACACAAAGCAAGGUGCUGCAUGGCCGUCGUCAGCUCGUGCCGUGAGGUGUUGGGUUAAGUCCCGCAACGAGCGCAACCC
rnacentral:rRNA from 1 species